GAUGAACGCUGGCGGCGUGCCUAAUACAUGCAAGUCGAGCGAACAGACGAGGAGCUUGCUCCUCUGACGUUAGCGGCGGACGGGUGAGUAACACGUGGAUAACCUACCUAUAAGACUGGGAUAACUUCGGGAAACCGGAGCUAAUACCGGAUAAUAUAUUGAACCGCAUGGUUCAAUAGUGAAAGACGGUUUUGCUGUCACUUAUAGAUGGAUCCGCGCCGCAUUAGUUAGUUGGUAAGGUAACGGCUUACCAAGGCGACGAUGCGUAGCCGGCCUGAGAGGGUGAUCGGCCACACUGGAACUGAGACACGGUCCAGACUCCUACGGGAGGCAGCAGUAGGGAAUCUUCCGCAAUGGGCGAAAGCCUGACGGAGCAACGCCGCGUGAGUGAUGAAGGUCUUCGGAUCGUAAAACUCUGUUAUUAGGGAAGAACAAAUGUGUAAGUAACUAUGCACGUCUUGACGGUACCUAAUCAGAAAGCCACGGCUAACUACGUG
rnacentral:rRNA from 1 species